UUUAUGCUUAUUUUAUUUUCAUAUUCAGACUUGUAUUGGUUUUAAAAGGGUUUAAAAAUGGGUCUCUGACGGGUGCACGCCAGCCGGAGCCAACGGGGCAAGAAGCCACGACCCGCCAAAGCAACAAAGGUAGUUAACAUGGGGUUGGAGAUUGGGCCUAAAAGACCCCAACUCGAUAAUGAUCCUUCCGCAGGUUCACCUACGGAAA
rnacentral:misc_RNA from 1 species